GAUGAACGCUGGCGGCGUGCCUAAUACAUGCAAGUCGAGCGAACGGACGAGAAGCUUGCUUCUCUGAUGUUAGCGGCGGACGGGUGAGUAACACGUGGAUAACCUACCUAUAAGACUGGGAUAACUUCGGGAAACCGGAGCUAAUACCGGAUAAUAUUUUGAACCGCAUGGUUCAAAAGUGAAAGACGGUCUUGCUGUCACUUAUAGAUGGAUCCGCGCUGCAUUAGCUAGUUGGUAAGGUAACGGCUUACCAAGGCAACGAUGCAUAGCCGACCUGAGAGGGGGAUCGGCCACACUGGAACUGGGACACGGUCCAGACUCCUACGGGAGGCAGCAGGAGGGAAUCUUCCGCAAUGGGCGGAAGCCUGACGGAACAACGCCGCGUGAGUGAUUAAGGUCUUCGGAUCGUAAAACUCUGUUAUUAGGGAAGAAAAUAUGUGGAAGUAACUGUGCACAGCUUGACGGUACCUAAUCAGAAAGCCACGGCUUACUACGUG
rnacentral:rRNA from 1 species